GAUGAACGCUGGCGGCGUGCCUAAUACAUGCAAGUCGAGCGAACAGACGAGGAGCUUGCUCCUUCGACGUUAGCGGCGGACGGGUGAGUAACACGUAGGUAACCUACCUAUAAGACUGGGAUAACUUCGGGAAACCGGAGCUAAUACCGGAUAAUAUUUCGAACCGCAUGGUUCGAUAGUGAAAGAUGGCUUUGCUAUCACUUAUAGAUGGACCUGCGCCGUAUUAGCUAGUUGGUAAGGUAACGGCUUACCAAGGCAACGAUACGUAGCCGACCUGAGAGGGUGAUCGGCCACACUGGAACUGUGACACGGUCCAGACUCCUACGGGAGGCAGCAGUAGGGAAUCUUCCGCAAUGGGCGAAAGCCUGACGGAGCAACGCCGCGUGAGUGAUGAAGGUCUUCGGAUCGUAAAACUCUGUUAUUAGGGAAGAACAAACGUGUAAGUAACUGUGCACGUCUUGACGGUACCUAAUCAGAAAGCCACGGCUAACUACGUG
rnacentral:rRNA from 1 species